CCCAGUGUCAUAGCCCAGUGGUAGAGCACCUGCUUUGCAUUCAGAAGUCCCAGAUUCAAUCCCUGGCAUUUCCAGAUAGGGU